ensembl:lncRNA
CCAGGCUUGAGUGCAGGUAGGUCAUAAUUUGCACUGUGAUUGCAGUUUCUUCUAAGAGCUUUUCAGUGUUACUUCUUUCUGAUUUUGUGUUAAUUUAAUAUUCUAUCUUAUAUAAUGCUGUUUCUAAGCCUUGGUGAAAUGAGCAUUGGUGCAGAGGAAAAUCUGGAUGAACAAGCCAUCAGUGACUUGAGGAAUAGCACGUGAGUAUUUUGAUCAACGGAGUUGAUGUUGUAUCUGAAGAAUGUUAUCUCAGUGUAUAUUAUGUUAUUGACUGUUUUGUCUCAUCAGGAUUGACUGGGCAGUUAACCCUCCACCUGUAAAGGCAUCAGAUACUGAUGAGGAGGAGCAGGACAGCUCUGAUGAAGAGUACAUCCCUCCACUUUCUCUUCGGUUGGGUGGAGCUUUACCAAAUGUUCCAAAUUUUGAUGCGCUGCCAGUAAUUGGUUUGGAAGAGACUGUACACGACCUCACUGCAGAUUUUGAGUCUGAACCAUCUACAGAUCCUGACAGCUCCACUGCCUCACCAGCUGAUUCAAAUGUGCCAACUGUACAGAAGGCAGAGGACAUUGUUGGUGCCAAGGCAUCGAUUGUGUAUGAUGACUGCUUGAAGUACCUUGCGGCCUUUGUUACACCACCAGUGAAACGGUGCACAGCAAUAAAUGUGACCGGUGCAACAUGCCAACACCAUCCACCAUUCCUGGUAAACAUCAAAGGGAAAGGCACUGCAAGCAUGUUAGAAUGGAGCUGAGCUGAUGGACACAUUGUGUGGCGAUGGGUUUCACAGCCCUUGAUGAAGUACGGACUCCAGGCUGGAGACUUUAUGCUGAGCACCAACAUCCUGCUAUCAGGAAACAACUAUGCUAAAAUUGCACUGCUAUUUAGAUUUAUGAACAUUGGCAUUUUUGGCCCAAACUAUUUUUUCUCCAUCCAAGAAGCGUACUGCGUUGACUCCAUCAAAAAGUACUGGAUGGAAAAAAGGGCAGAUGUGAUUGCAAGACUUCAGGACAAAGAGGUUGUUGUGCUUG